CUCCAGGACCUCCUGGACCACUGCCGAGAAGGUCUCGGGGGGACCGUGGGAGGUUCUCAAGAACUUCAGGACUUCUAUCUCAAAGAGGUGGAGGUGGGAAAGGAGGAGAUGAGGAGGUUCUGAGGGCUUCUGGAGGUCAGAGGUGGAACAGCGGUGGCUUUGAGGAGGUCCUGAGGGCUUCUGGAGGUCAGAGGUGGAACAGCGGUGGCUUUGAGGAGGUCCUGAGGGCUUCUGGAGGUCAGAGGUGGAACAGCAGUGGCUUUGAGGAGGUCCUGAGGGCUUCUGGAGGUCAAUGGACCUCCAAAGGUGGAACGUCGGUGGCUUUGAGGAGGUCCUGAGGGCUUCUGGAGGUCAGAGAUGGAACGUCGGUGGCUUUGAGGAGGUCCUGAGGGCUUCUGGAGAUCAAUGGACCUCCAGAGGUGGAACGUCGGUGGCUUUGAGGAGGUCCUGAGGGCUUCUGGAGGUCAAUGGACCUCCAAAGGUGGAACGUCGGUGGCUUUGAGGAGGUCCUGAGGGCUUCUGGAGGUCAGAGGUGGAACAGCGGUGGCUUUGAGGAGGUCCUGAGGGCUUCUGGAGGUCAAUGGACCUCCGGAGGUGGAACAUCAGUGGCUUUGAGGAGGUCCUGAGGGCUUCUGGAGGUCAAUGGACCUCCAGAGGUGGAACGUCGGUGGCUUUGAGGAGGUCCUGAGGGCUUCUGGAGGUCAGAGGUGGAACAGCGGUGGCUUUGAGGAGGUCCUGAGGGCUUCUGGAGGUCAGAGGUGGAACAGCGGUGGCUUUGAGGAGGUCCUGAGGGCUUCUGGAGGUCAAUGGACCUCCAGAGGUGGAACAUCGGUGGCUUUGAGGAGGUUCUGAGGGCUUCUGGAGGUCAAUGGACCUCCAGAGGUGGAACAUCGGUGGCUUUGAGGAGGUCCUGAGGGCUUCUGGAGAUCAGAGGUGGA